CCCGGAUACCGCGAAUAAUUCCCUGUACAUUGACAAAAUCAAGGCAAUUUUACCUAAGACGUGGGAGAUGAAUGAAAUAAAGGCCAUGUCUCCAGGAAGUAUUUUCCCCAUCUAUAACUGUUUUCAUUAUGUAAGUAAAACUGUCAAACACAUCACAUUGUUGACAAAAAACAACUUAAAACGAAUAACAGAAAAAGACAGAUGGUUGACACUCCCGGAUGCUUAUUGACUAUAAAAAAAUCGGCAUGGAAUAUCAUCCACCACAUAAAAAUAAAAACUUCAAGACUAAAGAAAACGGAAAGGUUGCACUACAAAAGAGUAAAGAUGAAAUUAUCAUUGUUAUUAGUUGCAUUUGUCGCCAUUUGUUUGAUUAGUGAAAGCGACGCUUGGGGUUUCCGUAGAAUUGUUCGCGGGAUUGGAAGAGUGGUAAGAAAAGCUAAAGACGUAGUUAAGAAAGUUAGCUGUAGUGUUUGUCCACGUGUUUGCAAAAUUCGUGGUAUAUGUAGCAUCGCAUGUAAAGCAGCAUGUAGAGGAAAACGGGCUGCUGUUAUGGCCGAAGAAAACCACGUGACCCCAUUAGCCAACCAACUUUCUGCUUAUGAUAUAAAUGACGAUGGAAUGGUCAGCAGAAAGGAACUUGCAAUGGCGAUCGGUGAAGACGAAGCUCAUCAUGAUUUCAUCAUGGCUUACAAACUGGCUGAUGUCAAUGAUGAUGGAAUCCUAACCCCUAAAGAAUUCUAUAAUGGACCAUUUGUUUUUGAAAUGGAUAUCAAUGAUGAUGAUUUGGAAUACUGCAGAUAUCGGUUGGACAUCGACGAUGAUUUACUUGAUAUUGUAAAUGGAAAUGAAAUAUCACAAGGACAAAGUUUUAUUGCUGGAGAAGCCGUAAAGGAAUCAGGAAAACCAGGAAAGGAUACAGGAAACACACAAAAAAUCACUAAAGUUUUAUAAACCGUCAGCAGUUAUUUAUAAUAUAAAUGGAAGUUUCUUGUCAUAAAUCAAGCAUAAUAAAGUAUAUAUAAACGUAUUUUCCGCGUAUUAAACGUUACUAUACCUCGAGUAGCAACUCAAGCCUGGUCACCUCUGAUUUUUAGAAUAUGAGAAUUUGUUUAUUGUAUUUCAUUUCGAAUAAAAUAUU